rnacentral:rRNA from 1 species
AAUUUUGGACAAUGGGCGCAAGCUUAACCAGCCAUUCCGCGUGAGUGAAGGAGGCCUUCGGGUUGUAAAGCUCUUUCGGACGGAAAGAAAACGCGCCGGCCAAUACCCUUCGCGGAUGACGGUACCGUCAAUAGAAGCCACGGCUCACCUCGUUCCAGCAGCCGCGGUAAUACGUAGGGUGCGAGCGUUAAUCGGAAUUACUGGGCGUAAAGCGUGCGCAGGCGGUUGAUUAAGACAGGCGUGAAAUCCCCGGGCUUAACCUGGGAACUGCGCUUGUGACUGGUCAGCUAGAGUACGGCAGAGGGGGGUGGAAUUCCACGUGUAGCAGUGAGAUGCGUAGAGAUGUGGAGGAACACCGAUGGCGAAGGCAGCCCCCUGGGCCGAUACUGACGCUCAUGCACGAAAGCGUGGGUAGCAAACAGG